rnacentral:rRNA from 1 species
AGCGAACGCUGGCGGCAGGCCUAACACAUGCAAGUCGAACGAACCUUUCGGGGAUAGUUGCGAACGGGAGAGUAACACGUGGGAACGGUCAUGUAGGGUCGGAAUAACUCAGGGAAAGUGGUGCUAAUACCGAAUGUGCCCUACGGGGGCAAGGUUAUUUGAGUUUAGAGCGGCCGGCGUGGGAUUAGCUAGUUGAUUGAGAUAAUGGCUCACCGAGGUGUCGUUGAGUAGUUGGUCUGGAAGGAUGAUCCGCCACAUUGGGACUGAGACAAGGCCGAAACUCUUACGGAAGGCAGAAGUGGGGAAUCUGGCGCAAUGGGCGAGAGCCUGACGUAUCCGGGCCGUGUGAAUGAGGAGGGUCUGAGGAUUGUAAAUUUCUUUCACCGGGGACGAUAGUGACGGUACCCGGAGAAGAAGCCCCGGCUAACUUCGUG